AACUGGCCCCGAUGUUAACGGCAUCCUUUUUUGUAAUUGUGCUCUAUAACAUCCUUUUUUUGACAAAGGCUCUGCCGUCAUUAUAAAAAAGAUACAAUGGACAGCGGGAUGAAGC
rnacentral:sRNA from 1 species